rnacentral:rRNA from 1 species
GAGUUUGAUCGUGGCUCAGGAUGAACGCUGGCGGCGUGCUUAACACAUGCAAGUCGAACGGAGUGCCUUUGAAAGAGGAUUCGUCCAAUUGAUAAGGUUACUUAGUGGCGGACGGGUGAGUAACGCGUGAGGAACCUGCCUUGGAGUGGGGAAUAACACAGUGAAAAUUGUGCUAAUACCGCAUAAUGCAGUUGGGCCGCAUGGCUCUGACUGCCAAAGAUUUAUCGCUCUGAGAUGGCCUCGCGUCUGAUUAGCUAGUUGGUGGGUAACGGCCUACCAAGGCGAUGAUCAGUAGCCGGCCUGAGAGGGCGACCGGCCAACAUUGGGACUGAGACACGGCCCAAAACUCCUACGGGAGGCAGCAGUGGGGAAUAUUGCAC